rnacentral:lncRNA from 1 species
UUGCUGUUGGUGUCUGCUGCUUCUGCAGCCCCUGCCGGCCGCCUCUUAGGUUGGGUUUUGCUACCACUACUGAAGUUUCCAUUGCCUCGGCAAGGCGUCGUCGUCUUACUUGCAAGGCACACAUUGCACCGCGGGCAACAUUUUGCUAUGCAUGGCCACUCAUGUCAAAGCUGGGUUCCAGUUUGACGACCUCUCUAUCAAGUCUCCAUGUUCUUCUUCCCGGUACUUUCUCCAUCUGCUGUUAUAGUCUCUUGCAAGUACGGCUUAUCCAGUUUGAUGUCAUGUUGCUUCGACAGUUGUGUAUUAACCCCUUAGGAAGAAGAGCGGGGAGAUGGAAGUUGUAGGCGUGUGCCCCCGGCCGACCGUCGUUAGACCAGUAUGAGCUAGCGGCGGUGGUCGUCGAGGACUCUAAGCAUCCGCGGAUUGUCGUGGCGUAGUGGUGCCACCGAGGGCACCAACAUCAGCAGUAGAUGCAACAACGGCGGCAACGGUAAGAGACAUAGGCCAAGGAUAGGGAUAGAGCAACUCAGCCACAAUAAUUUUUUAUUAAUUAUGAGAUGUUUCUUAUUUAUUCUAGAUAUGAUCUACUCCCUACAUUUCAUAAUGUAGUGCUCUUGAGAGGUGGAGCAUUAAAGAGCAAAUCAACUGGGCCCAGGCCUUCAUGGCUUCGUCCCCUACUUUCUACUGAUCCAUGCCAACUGCGUAGUUAUUUACUUUGGAAAGGCCUAGAUAUAUUUCACAUUUAACAGAAAAGUUCACACUGCAAUUGUCUGUACAAAGUUAUGUUUUGUUUUCAUUAUUUGUUUAUGUAACUCAUUUUUGGACUUGGUACUCAUUUGACAAUAGUGUUUUUAGAUGGUGCUGGGGAAUAGAUUCAGUUGAGUGGUGGAGUUAGCACUUGCUCAUGGUCAUGGAUGACUCUUCCUCGUCGAUGGAUGUAUGUUUAGUACUCCGUCAGUUUCAUAAUUCUUGUCGUGCUUUUAGUUCAAAGUAAAACCAUGUCAAGAAUUAUGGAAUGGAGGGAGUACUUAUUUGCCGAACCGGAGUUAAUACGUGCAUGGUGUGUGGUAACUACUCUUGCAUUUGAAUUUUUUGUGUGCGUUUAGUCUUUUAGAGGCUUUGUACUCUAUUGAUACACAUGUGGCAUAUCUGCAGGAUAGAUAAUGUUUCAUUGGUAGCCCACACAGUGCAUCUAGAGAAAACAAUUGCUUUCAUCGGCAUACGGGGAUAUAUUCUUCAGUGGACAUUCAGCUAGAAUACAUAUGAAUUUUCCAUAUACUUAAGAGUUUUUUCUCUCAAGGGAGCUGCAUUUUUUUAGAAAGGGAAUAACACAUAUUGGUUGUUUUCAUGGUAUUAGCCACCUCUAUUGUGUGUCUCAAUCAUUUAAAUUUUGGGCAUUGUACUAUCAUGGAUCAGUUUUGCAAUAAAUUGGUAGAAGUUUUUGCCCCCAAGAAUAUAAUGAGAAAUAUUUGCCGCAACUAAACUUUGCUGAGCAUGUCUAUUAACACUUUCCUCUUCUCCUAUUAGAUGUAAUGAUGUAGACCAAAGCAACCCUCAUGUAUAUUGAUACUAUACUAGAAGGCCACUGAAGAAUUUUACAGAACAAGAGAAGAUGGCGUGCACCAUAUCUUUAAGAUGACUUCCCUCACCAUGUGGCAUGCACUUUUCGGUUUUACUUUAGCGCAAUUGCCAUGUAUGUAAGGGAUGCAAUUAGGCUGAAUAUUGCAAUUGUAGUUUUUUCUAAACUUUUUCAACAUCCCAGCAUUAGUAAAAUACUCCCCCCAUUCCAUAAUGUAAGACUUUUUUGCAAGUUAUAUGUUUGUACAUUAUAUUGCUGGAAAUCAAGAAUUUACUCUUUUUGACUAAUAUUGUGUUUUAAUAGUCCAUUUCCUUUGUUUCAAAGGGUUGCGAUAGUGAAUAAAGCAAGAGCAACACCUUGUUUGUCG